rnacentral:rRNA from 1 species
GAUGAACGCUGGCGGCGUGCCUAAUACAUGCAAGUCGAGCGAACAGACGAGGAGCUUGCUCCUCUGACGUUAGCGGCGGACGGGUGAGUAACACGUGGAUAACCUACCUAUAAGACUGGGAUAACUUCGGGAAACCGGAGCUAAUACCGGAUAAUAUAUUGAACCGCAUGGUUCAAUAGUGAAAGACGGUUUUGCUGUCACUUAUAGAUGGAUCCGCGCCGCAUUAGCUAGUUGGUAAGGUAACGGCUUACCAAGGCGACGAUGCGUAGCCGACCUGAGAGGGUGAUCGGCCACACUGGAACUGAGACACGGUCCAGACUCCUACGGGAGGCAGCAGUAGGGAAUCUUCCGCAAUGGGCGAAAGCCUGACGGAGCAACGCCGCGUGAGUGAUGAAGGUCUUCGGAUCGUAAAACUCUGUUAUUAGGGAGGAACAAAUGUGUAAGUAACUAUGCACGUCUUGACGGUACCUAAUCAGAAAGCCACGGCUAACUACGUG